UACGUAGGGGCCAAGCGUUGUCCGGAAUCAUUGGGCGUAAAGAGCGUGUAGGCGGCCAGAUAAGUCCGCUGUGAAAUCUCGAGGCUCAACUUCGAGCUGUCGGUGGAAACUGUCUGGCUAGAGUCCGGAAGAGGAGAAUGGAAUUCCUGGUGUAGCGGUGAAAUGCGCAGAUAUCAGGAAGAACACCGGUGGCGAAGGCGGAUCUCUGGGCCGUUACUGACGCUGAGGAGCGAAAGCGUGGGGAGCGAACAGG
rnacentral:rRNA from 1 species